rnacentral:sRNA from 1 species
GACUAAACUCAGACGUUCUAAUGAGAGUCUGGCGGUCGCUUCCCUAAGUGUUAAAAUCGCUCAGAGGCUGGUCCUGUCCCCGGUCUUUCACCACAGGGCCAUGUAAACAGCUGCUAUCCGGAGUUUUCCUGCUUCAGAUCCUUCAGUGACCCCCUGGACGCGCCACGCGCCGCUUAAAGUUCUUACCAGCGAGAUGGAUCCAAGUCUUUCCGGUCCCCCAAGCCUCGCCCUCUUUUCACAGGCGUGCCCCCUUUUCAGUGCCUUAAAUGAGAGGAAAUCUAUCUGAUGUUUACUGCUGAUUGUGAUGUUUGAGUCUCCAUUGGGCUUUUGCUAAAACCUAAAUAAAUAUUUAGUGGACAAAAUUAGGUUAGUGCAAAAGUAAUGGCAAAACCGCGAUCAGUUUUGCACCAACCUAAUAUUUAUGGGCCGGGGCUGGAAUUUGUCUUCUCCUGAGGCCCAGGCUGGACAAUUCCUUGAGCACAGGAGUUUGAGACCACUCUGGACAACAUAGGACACUUGACGUUCAGGGAUGUGGCCAUAGAAUUCUCUCA